GUAGAGGGGUGAACAUUGUUGAGUUUGAUUAAUUCUGAAUUACUAGUAUGGCUGAAGAUCUUGCACAGUGAUAAGUUCAUUUAGGUGGCAUUCAUAAAGUGUGCUCUUCAGAUCCUGAGCUCCUCAGAUUUUUAAUAGGUGUUAUACCACCAAAGGAUUCAUAGUCAAAGGAAUUUGGGAAACAUUAUUUGAAACAAAGAGCUUUUCAACAAAUCCAACAAGAAUAUUCUCUCUGCUAGGAUAGACCUGGAGGCUACUAUCUGCAUGAACCGGCUCUUCCUCAGUCAGUCACAUUGCUCAAUAAACUCACCCUAUUAGAGGAAGUCUCAAAUGACAUGACGGUGAAAAUAUUUGGAAGGCAGCUAUGCUCAUCACUAUACCACCAACGCUAAAGAUACACUGCAUAUCAUAGAAGCCCUACAACCAGACUUACAUCAGCUAAGAAGUUUGGGAUAUCACUACAACAGCCUUUCCAGGAGAAGAAAGGGUUACAAUACAGAGGAAAUCUGGUUUCAGAACAAUGGGGAACACAUAUAGAAUAGUGGUUAAGAGCUUGGGUUCUGGAGGUAGUCAAAUCCGGGUUUUAUUCCUGGGUCUGCCACUGGUUAGGGUAACCCAGGACCACCUACCUUCUCUAAUUCUCAGUUUUAGCAACUGCAAAAUAAGGAAAACAAUGUCUUCUUUAUAGCAUAUAGAUGAAAUGAACUGAUACAGUAAAGCAUCUGCACAGUGCCUGCCACCAAAGUGCUCAAUAAAUAGUAACAGUUAAUAUUAUUAAAUGGAAGUUAUUAUAUAUUCCCAGAUGUUAUAUAAUGGAAAAACAGAGAUUUUAACUUUUAAUGGCAUUUUAAGACUACAGUCUGGUUAUAAUGUACUGAGGAAUACUUUUUCACUGUAAGAACAAAUUGCCUUAGAUGAUUUACUUCCUGUCUUGACUUCUAGUUUUCAUGGAUGAAUUAUUAUAGAUUUGUGCAAAUUUCAAGCAAUAUUGACUAAGCUUUUUAUUUUUAAAAGUUCAUUACUUUACUGAUACAUUUAUAUAAAUAUACAUAACAUUUUAGAUAAUGCAUAAAUGUGAUCAUAUACAUGUUUUCAUAGUGAAGUUUUUUUUAAAUAUCUCUCUCCCCCCUCUUGAGCUUCUUUACACCCCAUUCCCAUAGUAGCCCGUGUUAAUAGCCUAAUAUUUAUCCAUCCAUUUUUUUCUCUUGAUUUAUACAAUUCUGUGCAAACCUAUUAAUUAAUAUACUUAUAUACCUAUGCAAAUACAGGGUUUUUUGAUUAUUAAUUUAAAAAAUGAGACCAUAUUCUCAAGCAUGUUGCUUUUUUCACCCAGCAAUGCCCAGAGGAACAAUUCACUUGGGUAUAAUGUGAAUUCAUAUUUUAAUGGCAAUACAAUAUUCUAUGAUUUAGAUAUAACAUUAUGUAUUCAGCAA